AUGCCUGAGGAGGUGCAGCAUGGGGAGGAGGAGGUGGAGACGUUCGCCUUCCAGGCGGAGAUCGCCCAGCUCAUGUCGCUCAUCAUCAACACCUUCUACUCCAACAAGGAGAUCUUCCUGCGGGAGCUCAUCUCCAACGCCUCCGACGCGCUGGAUAAGAUCCGUUACGAGAGCCUGACUGAUCCCUCCAAGUUGGACAGCGGCAAGGACCUCAAGAUCGACAUUGUGCCCAACCCGCGAGACCGCACGCUCACCCUGGUGGACACUGGUAUUGGGAUGACAAAAGCUGAUCUCAUCAACAACUUGGGCACUAUUGCUAAAUCUGGUACCAAGGCCUUCAUGGAAGCCCUGCAGGCAGGUGCAGAUAUCUCCAUGAUUGGGCAGUUUGGUGUGGGUUUCUACUCAGCCUACCUGGUGGCUGAGAAGGUUGUGGUUAUUACUAAGCAUAAUGAUGAUGAGCAGUAUGCUUGGGAGUCAUCUGCCGGGGGUUCCUUCACUGUUCGGACUGACCAUGGUGAGCCUAUUGGACGGGGCACUAAAGUGAUCCUGUAUCUGAAAGAGGACCAGACAGAGUACUUAGAGGAGCGGCGUGUCAAAGAGGUGGUGAAGAAACAUUCCCAGUUCAUUGGCUACCCUAUUACACUCUAUCUGGAGAAAGAGCGUGAGAAAGAGAUUAGUGAUGAUGAAGCAGAAGAGGAGAAAAGCGAGAAGGAGGAGGAGGAGUCAGCCUCCAAGGAUGAGGAGAAACCCGAGAUCGAGGAUGUGGGCUCUGAUGAGGAGGAAGAGGGAGAUAAAGGGAAGAAGAAGAAGACCAAGAAGAUUAAGGAGAAAUACAUUGACCAGGAGGAGCUGAACAAGACCAAGCCCAUCUGGACACGCAACCCUGAUGACAUCACCCAGGAGGAAUAUGGCGAGUUCUACAAAAGUCUCACCAAUGACUGGGAAGACCACCUGGCUGUCAAGCACUUCUCUGUAGAAGGGCAGCUGGAAUUCAGGGCCCUGCUCUUCAUCCCACGCCGUGCCCCCUUUGACCUCUUUGAGAACAAGAAGAAGAAGAACAAUAUCAAGCUAUAUGUGAGGCGCGUCUUCAUCAUGGACAGCUGUGAUGAGCUCAUCCCUGAGUACUUGAACUUUAUCCGGGGCGUGGUAGACUCUGAGGACUUGCCUCUCAACAUCUCCCGUGAGAUGCUCCAGCAGAGUAAGAUUCUCAAGGUGAUCCGCAAGAACAUUGUGAAGAAGUGCUUGGAGCUCUUCUCUGAACUGGCAGAGGACAAAGAGAACUACAAGAAAUUCUAUGAGGCCUUUUCCAAGAACCUUAAGCUGGGCAUCCAUGAGGACUCAACCAACCGAAGGCGCCUGUCAGAGCUGCUGCGUUACCACACGUCCCAGUCAGGCGAUGAGGUGACUUCGCUUUCAGAAUAUGUUUCCCGUAUGAAGGAGACGCAAAAGAGUAUUUACUACAUCACAGGGGAGAGUAAGGAGCAGGUGGCCAACUCAGCCUUUGUGGAGCGUGUGCGGAAGCGUGGCUUUGAGGUGGUGUACAUGACAGAGCCAAUCGAUGAGUACUGCGUGCAGCAGCUCAAGGAGUUUGAUGGCAAGAGCCUGGUGUCAGUCACCAAGGAGGGGCUGGAGCUGCCUGAGGAUGAGGAGGAGAAGAAGAAGAUGGAGGAGAGCAAGGCCAAGUUUGAGACGCUUUGCAAGCUCAUGAAGGAGAUUCUGGACAAGAAGGUGGAGAAGAGGAGCCGCUAAAGGAGACUGGAGGUCCCAGCAUGCACUGCACCAUCUUGCUCUAAGCAGCCAGGCUGCAGAUGAAGGGCAGUGACCCAAAUACGUGCAUUGAUGGGAGAGGGUAACUAUCUCAAACCGAUUGGUCUCAUCUCCCUGCUGCAUCGUCACCAGCACCUACGGCUGGACGGCCAACAUGGAGCGUAUCAUGAAAGCCCAGGCACUGCGGGACAACUCCACCAUGGGCUACAUGAUGGCCAAGAAGCACCUGGAGAUCAACCCGGACCACCCAAUUGUGGAAACCCUCCGCCAGAAGGCUGAUGCUGACAAGAAUGAUAAAGCCGUCAAAGACCUGGUGGUACUGCUCUUUGAGACAGCUCUGCUGUCCUCUGGCUUCUCCCUGGAAGAUCCCCAAACCCACUCCAACCGCAUCUACAGGAUGAUCAAACUGGGGCUUGGUAUUGAUGAAGAUGAGGUGACUGCAGAGGAGCCCACCGCAGCUGUCCAGGAUGAAAUCCCCCCUCUAGAAGGAGAGGAAGACGCAUCCCGCAUGGAGGAGGUGGACUAAAGUAGGAGGAGGGCUUUUCUCUCUCCGGUCAGGCCUCUUCCCCAUCUCAUCUUUGCUCAGAAGGGGGUCUGGUCCCACCAGCUGCUAAUGACUACUUGGUGGUGUCUCAUUUUUUUUGGAUUUGUGAUUUUUUGGUUUUUUUUUUUUAGGGGGGAGGGGUUCUCUAUUUGUCAGUAGCGAGUGAGGUGGGUAGCCUCAGGCCUUUGUGGUACAUGUCUUUCUGCUUGUGUAGGAACAGCUGAUGGGGAAGGGAGACAGAAGGGGUUAGGCUUCCCCUCUCUCCCAGGGGUCUGCCAUGUUUACCACUAGGCAUCAAACACUCACUUCAGUUUAUUGAGUUGGGGAGAGCCCUUCCUCUGAGCUGCUGACUCCCUGCACUCCCAGGGUAGGAUGUUGCAUUUUGGUUGGUUUGGUUCUUUUUUUUUUUGAUGGUGGUUGUUUUGUUCUGCUGGAAUUAAAGUAUCAAAGAAUGUGGUUUA